AAGUCGUAACAAGGUUUCCGUAGGUGAACCUGCGGAAGGAUCAUUAUUGAAUUCAAAGUGAACGCUGUUGCUGGUCUUUCGAGGCAUUGUGCACGCUUCACAAUUCUUUCAACCACCUGUGAACUCUCGAAGUAGACCCGGGCUGAACGCCUUUAGGCUUGAGUCUACUUCUCUAUACACCCCUUAUAAUGUUUAAUGAAUGUAUGCGGCGCUAUAUGCGCCUUAAAUUGAUAAUACAACUUUCAACAACGGAUCUCUUGGUUCUC
rnacentral:misc_RNA from 1 species